AAAUUGAAGAGUUUGAUCAUGGCUCAGAUUGAACGCUGGCGGCAGGCCUAACACAUGCAAGUCGAACGGUAACAGGAAGCAGCUUGCUGCUUCGCUGACGAGUGGCGGACGGGUGAGUAAUGUCUGGGAAACUGCCUGAUGGAGGGGGGUAACUACUGGAAACGGUGGCUAAUACCGCAUAACGUCGCAAGACCAAAGAGGGGGACCUUCGGGCCUCUUGCCAUCAGAUGUGCCCAGAUGGGAUUAGCUUGUUGGUGAGGUAACGGCUCACCAAGGCGACGAUCCCUAGCUGGUCUGAGAGGAUGACCAGCCACACUGGAACUGAGACACGGUCCAGACUCCUACGGGAGGCAGCAGUGGGGAAUAUUGCACAAUGGGCGCAAGCCUGAUGCAGCCAUGCCGCGUGUAUGAAGAAGGCCUUCGGGUUGUAAAGUACUUUCAGCGGGGAGGAAGGUGUUGUGGUUAAUAACC
rnacentral:rRNA from 2 species